rnacentral:tRNA from 1 species
AGCUGGCGUAGCUCAGUCGGCAGAGCAGGUGAUUUGUAAUCACCAGGCCGUGGGUUCGAGUCCCACCGCCAGCUCUUU